UACGGGGGGGGCGAGCGUUGUUCGGAAUUACUGGGCGUAAAGGGCGCGUAGGCGGUUGGAUAAGAAGGUGGUGAAAUACCCGGGCUCAACCUGGGGGUGGCCAUCUAGACUGUCUGGCUGGAGUGCGGGAGAGGAGGGUGGAAUUCCUGGUGUAGCGGUGAAAUGCGUAGAGAUCAGGAGGAACACCGGUGGCGAAGGCGGCUCUCUGGACCGCAACUGACGCUGAGGCGCGAAAGCUAGGGGAGCAAACAGG
rnacentral:rRNA from 1 species